GGAUGUGAGGGCGAUCUGGCUGCGACAUCUGUCACCCCAUUGAUCGCCAGGGUUGAUUCGGCUGAUCUGGCUGGCUAGGUGGGUGUCCCCUUCCUCCCUCACCGCUCCAUGUGCUUCCCUCCCGAAGCUGCGCGCUUGGUUGAAGAGGAUGGCCUUCCCCGAAUAGAGACGGACCGGUCUUUGGUCGAAGGUAUACGAGUAGCUGAACUCCCCUGCUAGAACCUCCAAACAAGCUCUCAAGAAUACCGGUUCGGCUCCCCACCUGCAGGGACAUCACUUCACAAAUGGUGAAG
ensembl:misc_RNA 7SK 7SK RNA